rnacentral:rRNA from 1 species
GACGUAGGGGGCAAGCGUUGUCCGGAAUCAUUGGGCGUAAAGCGCUCGUAGGUGGAUCGGUAAGUCUGCAAAGAAAGACCCGGGCUCAACUCGGGGAACGGUGUGGAUACUACCGAUCUUGAGGCAAUCAGAGGAUGAUGGAAUUUCCGGUGUAGCGGUGAAAUGCGUAGAUAUCGGAAGGAACACCAGUGGCGAAAGCGGCUUCCUGGUCCAGCACCGACGUUCAGGCACGAAAGCGUGGGGAGCAAACAGG